rnacentral:rRNA from 1 species
GACGAACGCUGGCGGCGUGCUUAACACAUGCAAGUCGAACGGAAAGGCCCUGCUUUUGUGGGGUGCUCGAGUGGCGAACGGGUGAGUAACACGUGAGUAACCUGCCCUUGACUUUGGGAUAACUUCAGGAAACUGGGGCUAAUACCGGAUAGGAGCUCCUGCUGCAUGGUGGGGGUUGGAAAGUUUCGGCGGUUGGGGAUGGACUCGCGGCUUAUCAGCUUGUUGGUGGGGUAGUGGCUUACCAAGGCUUUGACGGGUAGCCGGCCUGAGAGGGUGACCGGCCACAUUGGGACUGAGAUACGGCCCAGACUCCUACGGGAGGCAGCAGUGGGGAAUAUUGCACAAUGGGCGGAAGCCUGAUGCAGCAACGCCGCGUGCGGGAUGACGGCCUUCGGGUUGUAAACCGCUUUCGCCUGUGACGAAGCGUGAGGGACGGGAAUGGGGAAAGAAGCAGCGGCGAACUACGG